CUAGCCGUAAACGAUGGGUACUAGGUGUUGGGGGUAUCGACCCCUCCAGUGCCGGAGUUAACGCAAUAAGUACCCCGCCUGGGGAGUACGGCCGCAAGGUUGAAACUCAAAGGAAUUGACGGGGGCCCGCACAAGCGGUGGAGUAUGUGGUUUAAUUCGACGCAACGCGAAGAACCUUACCAAGACUUGACAUCGUCUGAAUACUCUAGAGAUAGAGAGUUCUCCUUCGGGAGACAGAUAGACAGGUGG
rnacentral:rRNA from 1 species